rnacentral:lncRNA from 1 species
ACUGUACAUGUAUGGAUUUGGACAAAUGUACAAUGAUGUGUAUCCAUGUUAUAUAAAUUAUUUUGACUUCCCUAAAAAUCCUCUGUGCUCUGCCUAUGUAUCUUUUCCUGCUGUCUCUUAAAAGGAAAGAUUUUGUCAACUAAAAAAACAAAAUAUGUUGCUUCAACAGCAACUGGAUGAUGCUCGCAACAAAGCUGACAAUCAAGAAAAGGCAAUACUUAAUAUUCAAGCCAGAUGUGAUGCUAGAGUACAAAACCUUCAAGCUGAGUGCAGAAAGCGCCGUCUUUUACUAGAAGACAGUAAAAGGUUGGUAAAUGAAUUGAAUCAUUUGAAAGAAAAAGAACGCCAAUAUGAAAAAAAGCAAGCAGAAAGAGAACUUCAAGAAACACAGGAUCAACUUACAGCUACUAUAAGAUGUACUAAGGGGAUGGAAGGCGACGCACAAAAGUAAAAUUUGAAGCAGCGCACAAAAUAACUUGAGUAUUUAUAAAGCAAAAGAGCACUGUAGUAUGAAAAUUGUAUCAGUUAUGAUAAUAAGUAUGUCUUUGUGAAGCCAAAAAAGUUUCAUUUGUAAGCUGUAUUGAAAUACAUCAUUUUUCUACAUUAUUCCUAAAUUUUGCAUAUUAUCGACAAAACACAGUUAGAAAAAUGACACAGUAGCCCAAUCAUCUACUUUUGUGAUCGCUAAGAAUUUGUGUAAUUAUACCUUCAGAAGUUUGUUUAGAAUUUACAUGAUAAAAAAAAUUAUGUGUGAGAGUAAUUAUUUUAAAAUGCACAUUUUAGGCUUGAAGUAGAAAAUGCCAUGAUGAGAAAAACUAUUAAAAAACAGGAUGACCAAAUUGAGCGACUUGAGAAAAUCCUGCAGCGUUCAAGUUUGAUGCCACAGGUGUUCAAGAGCUAGAUGAAGGUAUGUUGCCAAAAUUUAUGAAUUAAAUUCAAAUCAUUGAUUUCUGAAAUAAACUCUAAGUAGUGAACGGUAUUCCUCUCAAUUGUUUGGUUAAUAAAUGCUACAUUAAAUAUUUUUUCUUACACACAUCUAGUGAAAGAUGUGAAAACAUAAACAUUCAUAGUGAAGAGUAUACUUAUGCUUUGUUAAUUCUUCAUGUUCCAUAGCUUUAAAAAAAUUGCAAGAAGUCUGUGUAUCCCUUUUUUUCUGGCCCUACACUUUUCUUCUGCCACCCCUAUAGAACUGUCAGCCUGCACACUGAAACUGUUCUCAGAAAACAAAGGCAUCAUCAACUUCUCAAGGUUAAGGUAGUGAUUUAAGGCUAACAGACCCCACACUCAUGUGAUAAUAAUUAGUUAAGCAAUUACAGGUCACAAGCAGUCACUUGUCCAGUGACAUUUUAAAUCUCUAGUCAUGACUUUGUCAUUGGUUUACUUUUGCCCCUGGGAAAAGUUGAAAAUUCCUUAGCAUGGAAUCAAAACUCUCACAUCAGUGUGGUUCUUGUCAGGUUAUUCAGCCUUCUCUUUCGCCACUUACCAUACUCUGCACCUUUGUUCUAUCAUCCAGCCAAACUAGACUACAUGGAGCUCCACAGUGAUCGUCUUCACCUCCAGCUCUUUGCAUUUACUUCUUCCCUCUAUCCUACAUGUGUUUUCCUUCCCUUUCAGAUAUCAACCUAUGAAUUGCCUCUACCAAAAAGCCUACAAUAUUGACACAAACCUGGGCUAGUAUCCCUUCUAUGUCUUCUAAUAAGUGCUGUCUUAUGCCUGUCACUGUAUGUAUGACUCUGUAUGGGAAUUGCCUGUUUGUUUUUUCAGAUUAUAGCAAACAGUUGUUGAGGGGUGGACCAUAUCAUCUUUAUCUUGUAAUUCCAGUGCUUGUCCUAGUACCUUAGCACAUGGUUGCUGAAUACAUGAAUGAAGAGUGAGAAACCAGAAGCUCUGAUAUUUAACUGCCGUGAUAAUGAAUUCAAUGUGCAACUAUGGGCAAAUUGUAUUUAAUAGUAAUUGCAUAUUGUACAUAUUUUUCAUUCUUAUUAACACUGAUAAACUUUUCAACUUAUACUGACUUUAAUAAAAUUGUAUUACUAGGCUAUUAACAUGAUAUUUUGUUUCCCAUUAAAUGUGACAUGCAAAGACGUUUAUUAAAUGAAAAUAUUUUUGU